rnacentral:lncRNA from 1 species
CUAGAGGUUUCCUGUUGGUUACUUGGUGUACACCCUAUGUAAAUGAAGUAGUGGCCCGCAAUCAGUCUGAUUGGUUGCAGGAGGGGAACAAUCAGAGACUGAAGCAAAGUUACAGUUACACCCUAUGCAAACGACUAAUUGGUUGCAGAAAGUGAUGAAUCAGAGGCUGAAGUGAAGUUACAAAGUUAUACUCCUAUGCAAAGGAAGACUUGGCCUGUGACCAGCCUGAUUGACUGCAGGAGGGGACCAGUCAGAGUGCAGCAUUGAAACAGAGUUACUGUGAAUACAGAAGACUGUCUAUCCCACAGCAGGCAAUGCAAUUAAAGACUUCAGAGAAUGCCAGAUUUUUCAGAAUGCAUCAUAGAAUUUUCAAAGCUGUAAGAAAGAGGUGAGGAUGCUGAGAUGUAGAGAGACUGAUUUGCUCAAGAUAACAAAGAGUUUUAUUGAUUUGGGAACCCAUGGAAGGGGGUCAGCUGUGAGAUAUCACAUGAUCAGACUGACUGCCUGACCAGACUGACUGCCAUCCUGUUAAAGGAAUGAAUCACAGUUCAUCUCGCAGAUUUAUGGCAUGCCUACAGAAAAAGUACCUUAUGAUGCAAACCUGAAAGUUUAAAUAAUCUCCUGAAAGUUCCACAAUCAGCUGCAGAGAACUCCAGGAGCUGUUUUUAAAGAAGAUUAAGCUCUCACCCCUGCAGUACGCUUCUUUCCGUUGGGUUUCCUCCGCCUGUAAGUCACCUUUCUUGAAGGGGUAUCUUCAAGAAGACCCAAGCCUGCCUAGCUUUCCUGGUGUCCUCCUGGCCAUAGGAAACUCUCCUGUUUUUGUCUCACUGCACCGUUACCUCUUCUUUUCCAUACCAUUCUACUCCAGCCAGGUUCCAGCUUUCAUCAUUCUCCAGAGAAGACAUCUCCAUUUUCACAUAAGCUCCCCAACUCUCAAGAAGACAUGUCAAACUUCAAAGAACUUUUUUUACUAUGUGCUCCCAUGCUCUGAUGGCAACAUCUAAAUAGGUUUACAAGUUUCUGAAGUUCAGCAUGUGAAGGGGUCAAUGGGGGAACUGAGAUGCAGAUCCCCUUUUCUUGAGGACACCUCUAAUUUGGUUUCACAGAGCUGGGAGAUGGUGCUCCCUCCUCUCCUCCACAAAGAGAAAAGCCACGGCACACUUCCUCACUGCGGCCCCCUCUAAAAUCUUUCUCUAUUCAACUAACGUUCUUUUGAGUUAUUUUCCUUUAUGUGAUCUGGUUGCCAUACAGAGGAUGAAGCCCUCUUUUAUAAUAUAAACCCUGAAGGGCAUGUAUGGCAGGUUCUUAAUGUUCUCUUUGGAAUUUGAUGCUACAUAGCUUCUAAUAUACUGAAUUUUGGGACUCUAAACAACAUUCUAAAACAAUAGGAAAAGUCUUUCCAAUAUCAUGAUGUGAUCAUCAUUGCUGUUUC